UACGUAGGGGGCUAGCGUUGUCCGGAUUUAUUGGGCGUAAAGAGCGUGUAGGCGGCCAGGUAGGUCCGGUGUGAAAACUCGAGGCUUAACCUCGAGAUGUCAUCGGAAACCAUCUGGCUAGAGUCCGGAAGAGGAAAGUGGAAUUCACGGUGUAGCAGUGAAAUGCGUAGAUAUCGUGAGGAAGACCAGUGGCGAAGGCGGGUCUCUGGACAGUUCCUGACGCUGAGGCGCGAAGGCCAGGGGAGCAAACGGG
rnacentral:rRNA from 1 species